rnacentral:rRNA from 1 species
AGAGUUUGAUCAUGGCUCAGAAUCAACGCUGGCGGCGUGCCUAACACAUGCAAGUCGAACGAGAAAGUGGAGCAACCAUGAGUAAAGUGGCGACCGGGUGAGUAACACGUGACUAACCUACCCUACAGUGGGGGAUAACCUCGGGAAACCGGGGCUAAUACCGCAUAACAUUACGAGGUGCAACUCUUUGUAAUCAAAGGAGCAAUUCGCUGAAGGAGGGGGUCGCGGCUGAUUAGCUAGUUGGUGAGGUAACGGCCCACCAAGGCAAUGAUCAGUAGCCGGCCUGAGAGGGCGCACGGCCACACUGGAACUGAAACACGGUCCAGACUCCUACGGGAGGCAGCAGUGGGGAAUUUUGCGCAAUGGGGGAAACCCUGACGCAGCAACGCCGCGUGGAGGAUGAAGUCCCUUGGGAUGUAAACUCCUUUCGAUCGGGACGAUUAUGACGGUACCGGAAGAAGAAGCACCGGCUAACUCUGUGCCAGCAGCCGCGGUAAUACAGAGGGUGCAAGCGUUGUUCGGAAUUAUUGGGCGUAAAGGGCGCGUAGGCGGUGCGGUAAGUGUGUUGUGAAAUCUUCGGGCUCAACUCGAAGCCUGCAACGCAGACUGCCGUGCUCGAGUAUGGGAGAGGUGAGUGGAAUUCCCGGUGUAGCGGUGAAAUGCGUAGAUAUCGUCAAGAACACCGAUAGCGAAGGCAGCUUACUAGACUGUAACUGACGCUGAGGCACGAAAGUGUGGGGAUCAAACAGGAUUAGAUACCCUAGUAGUCC